rnacentral:misc_RNA from 1 species
GACGUUCAGUAGUUUUAUUACGGGGAACAACUAUCAAUGAUUGCCGGCUAGCAAAGCCCAGUUCAGACAAAGAACUCGACAUGUCUUGCUCAUUGAACACUUUUCGCGGAUAUGGAACAGCUAGAUCGUAAGUGCCUGUUCCACUAGUUUGAUUUUCAUCAAUAUAAUUUCUCACAGAUAACAGAGUAUCUGCUUUGCUAAAAGU